rnacentral:rRNA from 1 species
CACGUAGUUAGCCGGUGCUUAUUCUUCCGGUACCGUCAUCCCCCGACUGUAUUAGAGCCAAGGAUUUCUUUCCGGACAAAAGUGCUUUACAACCCGAAGGCCUUCUUCACACACGCGGCAUUGCUGGAUCAGGCUUUCGCCCAUUGUCCAAAAUUCCCCACUGCUGCCUCCCGUAGGAGUCUGGGCCGUGUCUCAGUCCCAGUGUGGCUGGUCGUCCUCUCAGACCAGCUACUGAUCGUCGCCUUGGUAGGCCUUUACCCCACCAACUAGCUAAUCAGCCAUCGGCCAACCCUAUAGCGCGAGGCCCGAAGGUCCCCCGCUUUCAUCCGUAGAUCGUAUGCGGUAUUAAUCCGGCUUUCGCCGGGCUAUCCCCCACUACAGGACAUGUUCCGAUGUAUUACUCACCCGUUCGCCACUCGCCACCAGGUGCAAGCACCCGUGCUGCCGUUCGACUUGCAUGUGUAAGGCAUGCCGCCAGCGUUCAAUCUGAGCCAGGAUCAAACUCU